AGGUCCGGCUGGGGAGCGGAACGGCAUGGGAGGGCCGGCCGCAGCGGGUGACAGCCCCGUACGCGAACCCAGACCGGACGGCGCGACGCGGUCCCUGAGUAGGGCCGGGCACGUGAAACCCGGUCCGAACCUGGGUGGACCACCAUCCAAGCCUGAGUACUACCCUGUGACCGAUAGCGCACCAGUACCGUGAGGGAAAGGUGAAAAGCACCCCGGGAGGGGAGUGAAACAGUACCUGAAACCGUGCGCCCACGAGCAGUCGGAGCACCUUUAUGGUGUGACGGCGUGCCUUUUGUAGAAUGAGCCAGCGAGUCGCUGGCGCGGGGCGAGGUUAACCGAAAGGGAGCCGAAGCGAAAGCGAGCCUUAACAGGGCGACUUGAGUCCCGCGCCGCGGACGCGAAGCCGGGUGAGCUAUCCGUGGGCAGGCUGAAGCGGGGGUAAGACCCCGUGGAGGGCCGAACGCACGUCGGUUGAAAACGGCGGCGAUGACCUGCGGAUAGGGGUGAAAGGCCAAUCAAACCCGGAGAUAUCUCGUUCUCCCCGAAAUAGCUUUAGGGCUAGCGUCGCGCGUUCACCGCCGGAGGUAGAGCACCGGAUGGACGAGGGGGCUUCGCCGCCUACCGAAUCCAACCGAACUCCGAAUGCCGGCGGCCCAGAGCGCGGCAGUCAGAGCAUGUGGGCUAAGCUGUGUGCUCGAGAGGGAAACAGCCCGGACCGCCCGCUAAGGUCCCCAAGUUCCAGCCGAGUGGCAAAGGAUGUGCGUCCGCCCAGACAACCAGGAUGUUGGCUUAGAAGCAGCCAUCCAUUCAAAGAGUGCGUAACAGCUCACUGGUCGAGUGGACAUGCGCCGACAAUACACGGGGCUAAGCUGGACACCGAAGCGGCGGGAUUUUGAUUUACAGAAUCGGUAGGGGAGCUUCCCAUGGGCGGAGAAGCCGUCAGGGCGACCGACGGUGGAGCGCAUGGGAGUGAGAAUGCUGGCAUGAGUAGCGAGAGACGAGAGAGUAACUCGUCCGCCGUGAACCCGAGGUUUCCUGGGCAAGGCUAAUCCUCCCAGGGUCAGUCGGGGGCUAAGGCGAGGCCGGAAGGCGUAGCCGACGCGCAGCAGGCAGACAUUCCUGCACCGCGCACGCGGCGCUACGACCGACGGGGCGACGGAUGGGGGUGGCUCGGCGGGGUUCUGGACGUCCCCGUGAUGGAGCGCGGCCCGCGGACCAGGGAAAUCCGGUCCGCACGAGGGCGAGGCUCCGGACGAAGCGAUCAAGCGAAGCGAGUGAGCCCGAGGUCCCUAGAAAAACCCCUAGGCAGGCGCGUGCGCGCCCGUACCGCAAACCGACACAGGUGGGUGGGUAGAACAUACCGAGGCGAUCGGGUCAACCAUGGUCAAGGAACUCGGCACAAUGGCCCCGUAACUUCGGGAGAAGGGGUGCCCGCGCGUACGUGAACGGACUUGCUCCGGGAGCGGAGGCGGGCCGCAGUGGAGAGGCCCAAGCGACUGUUUACCAAAAACACAGGACUCUGCAGAAGCCGCAAGGCGACGUAUAGGGUCUGACGCCUGCCCGGUGCCGGAAGGUCACGCGGAGGAGUUAGCGCAUCGCGCGAAGCCCCGAAGCCAAGCCCCGGUAAACGGCGGCCGUAACUAUAACGGUCCUAAGGUAGCGAAAUUCCUUGUCGGGUAAGUUCCGACCUGCACGAAAGGCGCAACGACUUGGGCGCUGUCUCGACCAUGGACCCGGUGAAAUUGCACUGGUCGUGAAGAUGCGACUUACCCGCGGAAGGACGGAAAGACCCCGUGAACCUUCACUGCAGCUUGGCAUUGGCCGCUGGUCCCGCGUGUAGAGGAUAGGCAGGAGGCUAAGAUCCGGAGGCGCCAGCCCCCGGGGAGCCGCCCUUGGAAUACUGCCCUCGCGCGACCGGCGUCCUAACCCGAGGCCGUCAACCGGCUCGGGGACCGUGCCAGGCGGGCAGUUUGACUGGGGCGGUCGCCUCCUAAAGGGUAACGGAGGCGCGCGAAGGUCCGCUCGGGACGGUCGGCAACCGUCCUUUUGAAUGCAAGAGUACAAGCGGGCUUGACUGCGAGGCCCACAAGCCGAGCAGGUGCGAAAGCAGGCUCUAGUGAUCCGGCGGCCCCGAGUGGGUGGGCCGUCGCUCAACGGAUAAAAGGUACUCCGGGGAUAACAG
rnacentral:rRNA from 1 species